AGAUGCCUCAUGUUACGAAGUUUCCGUCAGUCACAUGUCCAAUGUCAUUGACCUCAUUUUCAUGGUUCAGUGACCACUUGAAAAAAAAGUUCAGAAGUUUUGUAAUGUUGAAUUCUCUCAUAUUAUAAGUAAUAGGAUAACUAUAUUUGGUAUGUGCGUACCUUGCAAGGUCCUCAUGCCCGUCAGACAGUUUUCACUUGACCUCGACCUCAUUUCAUGGAUCAGUGAACAAGGUUAUGUUUUGGUGGUCAAGUCCAUAUCUCAGAUACUUUAAGCAAUAGGGCUAGUAUAUUUGGUGUAUGGAAGGACUGGAAGGUGUACAUGUCCAACUGGCAGGUGUCAUCUGACCUUGACCUCAUUUUCAUGGUUCAGUGGUUAUAGUUAAGUUUUUGUGUUUUGGUCUGUUUUUCUCAUACUUUAUGCAACAGGUCUACUAUAUUUGUUGUAUGGAAUGAUUGUAAGGUGUACAUGUCUAGCGGGCAGAUGUCAUCUGACCUUGACCUUAUUUUCAUGGUUCAGUGGUCAAAGUUAAGUUUUUAAGUUUUGGUCUUUUUAUCUAAUAUUAUAUGCCAAAGGUGAACUAUAUUUGGUGUAUGGAAAUAUAAUAUGAUCUAUAUGUCAGUCCCGCAG
rnacentral:lncRNA from 1 species